GUAUUCACUUCGGCAGCACGUGUACUAAAAUUGGAACUAUACAGAAUAGAUUAGUAUGGCCCCUGCUCAAGGAUGACACGCAAAUUCGUGAAGAAAAUGCAAGCUAA